GGAAAAAAAUUAAUUUUAUUUAUUUAUUUAAUUUAUUUAAUAAAAAUAAUUUUAAAAUUUUAAGUUUUAGUAUUUUAUAAAGAAAAAAUAAUUUUAAUUAUAGUUUAUUUGUAUUGUAAAAGAAAAUUGAAAUAAUUUGAAAAAUUUUUAUUUUAAAAGAAAAUUUAAUUUAUUGUACCUUGUGUAUCAGGGUUUAUUAAAUAAAAAAUUAUUAUAUUAAUUUUUCUCGAAUUUUAAAGAUUUAAUUAUAUAUAAAAGUUACUGUGGAAUAAUUAUUUUUAAUAUAUAAUUAGAAAUGAAAUGUUAAUCGUUUUAAAAUAUAUCUAGUUUUUUAAGAAAUAAAUUUAAUUUAGACUUAUAAAUUUAAAUUAUUUAAUUAAUAUAAAUAAUUUAAUUUAUAAGAUUAAUAUUUUAAGGGAUUAGCUUUAAAAUAAAUUUUUAAAUUUUAAAUUAAUUAUUUAAUAAAUAUAAGCUUAAAAAUAGCUAUUAUUAAUAAAUUUGUUAUAAUUUAUUUUAAAAAUUUAAUUAUUUAUUAUAAAAUUAAAUUAUUUAUUAAAAUAUAAAUUUUAAUAAUAAAAAUUUAUAAAUUAUGAUAAAAUUAGUAUAUAAAAUUUUUAUAAAUAAUUAUUUAUGAAAGGUUUAAAUAAGGAAUUCGGCAAAAUAUAUAUUCACCUGUUUAUCAAAAACAUGUCUUUUUGAAUUAAAUUUAAAGUCUAACCUGCCCACUGAUAUAAAUUAAAGGGCCGCAGUAUUUUGACUGUGCGAAGGUAGCAUAAUCACUAGUCUUUUAAUUGGAGGCUUGUAUGAAUGGUUGAAUGAGAUAUAUACUGUCUUUUUUAAAAUUAUAUAGAAUUUUAUUUUUUAAUUAAAAAGUUAAAAUAAAAUUAAAGGACGAGAAGACCCUAUAGAUCUUUAUUUUUGUUAUUUAUAAAUUAAAAAGAAUUUUAAAAUUUAUAAUUUAAUAAAAAAUUUUAUUGGGGUGAUAUUAAAAUUUAAAAAACUUUUAAAAUUUAUUAACAUAAAUAUAUGAAUAAAUGAUCCAGUUUUAUUGAUUAAAAAUUUAAGUUACCUUAGGGAUAACAGCGUAAUUUUUUUUUAGAGUUCAUAUCGACAAAAAAGAUUGCGACCUCGAUGUUGGAUUAAGAGUUAUUUUUAGGUGUAGAAGUUUAAAGUUUAGGUCUGUUCGACCUUUGAAUUCUUACAUGAUCUGAGUUCAAACCGGCGUAAGCCAGGUUGGUUUCUAUCCUUAAUUAAUUAUUAUGUUAUAGUACGAAAGGACCUAAUAUAAGAAAUAUAGAUUUUAAUAAUAUGAUUAAUAUUAAUAUUAGAUAACUAUUUUGGCAGAUUAGUGCAAUAAAUUUAGAC
rnacentral:rRNA from 1 species